CGAGUUGGCUAGGCAGUCGCCGUCUCUUUUAUGCCUUUUGGCGUAUUUGGGAGGGAGGAAAGUCCGGGCUCCAUAGGGUAGAACGCCAGGUAACGCCUGGGGGGCGCGAGCCUACGGAAAGUGCAGCAGAGAGUAGACCGCCGAUGGCAUUCUUAGGAAUGCACAGGUAAGGCUGAAAGGGUGCGGUAAGAGCGCACCGCGCGACGGGUAACCGUUCGUGGCAUGGUAAACCCCGUUCGGAGCAAGACCAAAUAGGCCCUCUAUAGGUGUGACCCGCACUGAGGGCGGGUAGGUUGCUAAAGCCUUGCGGUGACGUAAGGCGUAGAUGAAUGAUUGUCGUAUACAGAACCCGGCUUAUUGCUGACUCGACUU
rnacentral:RNase_P_RNA from 1 species